AGAGUUUGAUCCUGGCUCAGAACGAACGCUGGCGGCAGGCUUAACACAUGCAAAUCGAAGGUGAAGCUGGGCUUCGGCCCAGUGGAAACUGGCGCACGGGUGAGUAACGCGUGGGAAUCUACCUAGUGGUUCAGAAUAACCGCGGGAAACUGCGGCUAAUACUGAAUACGCCCUCCGGGGGAAAGAUUUAUCGCCAUUAGAUGAGCCCGCGUCGGAUUAGCUUGUUGGUGAGGUAACGGCUCACCAAGGCGACGAUCCGUAGCUGGUCUGAGAGGAUGAUCAGCCACACUGGGACUGAGACACGGCCCAGACUCCUACGGGAGGCAGCAGUGGGGAAUAUUGGACAAUGGGCGCAAGCCUGAUCCAGCCAUGCCGCGUGAGUGAUAAAGGCCUUAGGGUUGUAAAGCUCUUUCACCGGGGAAGAUAAUGACGGUACCCGGAGAAGAAGCCCCGGCUAACUCCGUGCCAGCAGCCGCGGUAAUACGGAGGGGGCUAGCGUUGUUCGGAUUUACUGGGCGUAAAGCGCGCGUAGGCGGCUUGCCAAGUUGGGGGUGAAAUCCCAGGGCUCAACCCUGGAACUGCCCUCAAAACUGGCUCGCUUGAGACCGGGAGAGGUGAGUGGAAUUCCCAGUGUAGAGGUGAAAUUCGUAGAUAUUGGGAAGAACACCGGUGGCGAA
rnacentral:rRNA from 1 species